UUACUUCCUCCUACAGCACAGCCUGGAGCUUGACCCCCUGCACAUAGUGGAUUGCCUGUGGAGGACACGACCCACUCAGGUUCCUACAAUAUAGGAUCCGCUCAGUAGAUAUCUUCUAUAUAAGAUCCUCCUCCUGAUUGACCCAUCAAGAAUGGACAGGGACAGGGACAAGAUGGCGGAGAGUAUAAUAAAUCUCACCCUAGAGAUCAUCUUCCGGCUUACUGGAGAGGACUACACAGUAGUGAAGAAGACCUCUAGUGAGCGCUGUCAGGCCCUUGUGUCUG